rnacentral:rRNA from 1 species
GACAGAGGCCUCGAGCGUUAGGCGGAAUCACUGGGCUUAAAGCGUGUGUAGGCGGGCCCGUAAGUGUCUUGUGAAAUCCCACGGCUCAACCGUGGAACUGCUGGGCAUACUGCGGGUCUUGGGCCAACUAGGGGCAGCCGGAACAAGCGGUGGAGCGGUGAAAUGCGUAGAUAUCGUUUGGAACGCCGAUGGUGAAAACAGGUUGCUGGGGCUGUGCUGACGCUGAGACACGAAAGCCAGGGGAGCGAACGGG